rnacentral:lncRNA from 1 species
UCGACUCCGGCAUCAAAGGACGCCGACGGUGGCAGCCAACACAACCUGUCCUUCGGCCGGCUUCGGGAAUAGUCUCAAGGACGCCGGGGUGUGGCAGUAGGGUCGCCUCCUCUCUCCCGAUUGACGAGGGAGAUGCGGCCACCAAUGAUGCUCCAGCCUCCCUGAUGCUCUCAUUGUCUCCCUUGAUUUGGCCACACAACAAUAGCUGGAGGUCAGUGCGCCCACCUGAUGAAGCACUGAUAGCACCAGCAGUGGGAGGACCAGAGGAGGUGCUGCCAAAACCGGUGAAGUUCAGAAAGUUUUUCUUUUACGUUUUUAGAUUUGAUUGCUCGUGACGGGAUAUGGGACUCUAGCUCGGUUUUCCGUUGACCUUUGCAAUUCAUGGUCGUGCAUGGUGAUGCGGCAGCAGUGCGGUUGCACUUCGUGCUCCUUGUGCAUUUAAAAGUUUUUAUGGUUCAGUGUGCGUGAGUCCAGUGUUGUUUGCACGGUGUUGCAAUACCCAUGAGCCCCUCUCCAGUACACCAACCUCAUCCCCACGGUGUUGCAGAAAAAAUAUAAGUUGUUGUAAACUUCUAAUGAAUUUCACCUUGGUGUACGACAUUUCUAAAAACAGUAAGACAACUAUUUUGGAGCAUAUUAGUAGUUGUUAAGAAAAAUUAGUGCAAUUUAUUUGUAGCGGCUCAAGUAGUUCACUGUGUAAAACAAAAUGUUAGGAAAAAAAGUAUGAAGUUCAGGAC